UACGUAGGGUCCGAGCGUUGUCCGGAAUUACUGGGCGUAAAGAGCUCGUAGGCGGUUUGUCGCGUCGUUCGUGAAAACUCACAGCUCAACUGUGGGCGUGCGGGCGAUACGGGCAGACUGGAGUACUGCAGGGGAGACUGGAAUUCCUGGUGUAGCGGUGAAAUGCGCAGAUAUCAGGAGGAACACCAAUGGCGAAGGCGGCUCGCUGGGAAGUGACUGACGCUGAGACGCGAAAGCGUGGGGAGCAAACAGG
rnacentral:rRNA from 1 species